rnacentral:rRNA from 1 species
AGAGUUUGAUCCUGGCUCAGGACGAACGCUGGCGGCGCGCCUAACACAUGCAAGUCGAACGAGCGAGAGAGAGCUUGCUUUCUCGAGCGAGUGGCGAACGGGUGAGUAACGCGUGAGGAACCUGCCUCAAAGAGGGGGACAACAGUUGGAAACGACUGCUAAUACCGCAUAAGCCCAUGGCUCGGCAUCGAGCAGAGGGAAAAGGAGCAAUCCGCUUUGAGAUGGCCUCGCGUCCGAUUAGCUAGUUGGUGAGGUAAUGGCCCACCAAGGCAACGAUCGGUAGCCGGACUGAGAGGUUGAACGGCCACAUUGGGACUGAGACACGGCCCAGACUCCUACGGGAGGCAGCAGUGGGGAAUAUUGCACAAUGGGGGAAACCCUGAUGCAGCGACGCCGCGUGGAGGAAGAAGGUCUUCGGAUUGUAAACUCCUGUUGUUGGGGAAGAUAAUGACGGUACCCAACAAGGAAGUGACGGCUAACUACGUGCCAGCAGCCGCGGUAAAACGUAGGUCACAAGCGUUGUCCGGAAUUACUGGGUGUAAAGGGAGCGCAGGCGGGAAGACAAGUUGGAAGUGAAAUCUAUGGGCUCAACCCAUAAACUGCUUUCAAAACUGUUUUUCUUGAGUAGUGCAGAGGUAGGCGGAAUUCCCGGUGUAGCGGUGGAAUGCGUAGAUAUCGGGAGGAACACCAGUGGCGAAGGCGGCCUACUGGGCACCAACUGACGCUGAGGCUCGAAAGUGUGGGUAGCAAACAGGAUUAGAUACCCUGGUAGUCCACACCGUAAACGAUGAUUACUAGGUGUUGGAGGAUUGACCCCUUCAGUGCCGCAGUUAACACAAUAAGUAAUCCACCUGGGGAGUACGACCGCAAGGUUGAAACUCAAAGGAAUUGACGGGGGCCCGCACAAGCAGUGGAGUAUGUGGUUUAAUUCGACGCAACGCGAAGAACCUUACCAAGUCUUGACAUCCCUUGACAGGCAUAGAAAUAUGUUUUCUCUUCGGAGCAAGGAGACAGGUGGUGCAUGGUUGUCGUCAGCUCGUGUCGUGAGAUGUUGGGUUAAGUCCCGCAACGAGCGCAACCCUUAUGGUCAGUUACUACGCAAGAGGACUCUGGCCAGACUGCCGUUGACAAAACGGAGGAAGGUGGGGAUGACGUCAAAUCAUCAUGCCCUUUAUGACUUGGGCUACACACGUACUACAAUGGCGUUAAACAAAGAGAAGCAAGACCGCGAGGUGGAGCGAAACUCAGAAACAACGUCCCAGUUCGGACUGCAGGCUGCAACUCGCCUGCACGAAGUCGGAAUUGCUAGUAAUCGUGGAUCAGCAUGCCACGGUGAAUACGUUCCCGGGCCUUGUGCACACCGCCCGUCAUA